rnacentral:rRNA from 1 species
CCUACGGGUGGCAGCAGUGGGGAAUAUUGCGCAAUGGGGGAAACCCUGACGCAGCAACGCCGCGUGCGGGAUGACGGCCUUCGGGGUUUAAACCGCUUUCAGCAGGGAAGAACAUCGACGGUACCUGCAGAAGAAUCCCCGGCUAACUACGUCCCAGCAGCCGCGGUAAUAGGUAGGGGGCGAGCGUUAUCCGGAUUCAUUGGGGGUAAAGCGCGCGUAGGCGGGUUCCUAAGCGGGACCUCAAACCUCGGGGCUAAACCCCGAACCGGGUCCCGAACUGGGGGUCUCGAGUGAGGUAGGGGAGAUCGGAAUUCCCGGUGUAGCGGUGGAAUGCGCAGAUAUCGGGAAGAACACCGAUGGCGAAGGCAGAUGUCUGGGCCGCAACUGACGCUGAGGCGCGAAAGCUAGGGGAGCGAACAGGAUUAGAUACCCCGGUAGUC